CAUGCAGUCGAACGGAAAGGCCUCUUUCGGGGGGUACUCGAGUGGCGAACGGGUGAGUAACACGUGAGUAACCUGCCCUUGACUUUGGGAUAACUUCAGGAAACUGGGGCUAAUACCGGAUAGGAGCUCCUGCUGCAUGGUGGGGGUUGGAAAGUUUCGGCGGUUGGGGAUGGACUCGCGGCUUAUCAGCUUGUUGGUGGGGUAGUGGCUUACCAAGGCUUUGACGGGUAGCCGGCCUGAGAGGGUGACCGGCCACAUUGGGACUGAGAUACGGCCCAGACUCCUACGGGAGGCAGCAGUGGGGAAUAUUGCACAAUGGGUGGAAGCCUGAUGCAGCAACGCCGUGUGCGGGAUGACGGCCUUCGGGUUGUAAACCGCUUUCGCUCAUGACGAAGCUUUGUGUGACGGUAGUGGGUAAAGAAGCACCGGCUAACUACGUGCCAGCAGCCGCGGUGAUACGUAGGGUGCGAGCGUUGUCCGGAUUUAUUGGGCGUAAAGGGCUCGUAGGUGGUUGAUCGCGUCGGAAGUGUAAUCUUGGGGCUUAACCCUGAGCGUGCUUUUGAUACGGGUUGACUUGAGGAAGGUAGGGGAGAAUGGAAUUCCUGGUGGAGCGGUGGAAUGCGCAGAUAUCAGGAGGAACACCGGUGGCGAAGGCGGUUCUCUGGGCCUUUCCUGACGCUGAGGAGCGAAAGCGUGGGGAGCGAACAGGCUUAGAUACCCUG
rnacentral:rRNA from 1 species